rnacentral:rRNA from 1 species
GGCGCUCCGACCGCGACCUAUAAGUCAGGCCAAGUUCCGACG